rnacentral:lncRNA from 1 species
UGCUUAUAUAUGUCUUUUGCUUAGUGUGUUUAAUAAAUAAAUAAAGUGGCUAUGCUAAUCUGUAUCUAAAUAAAACUUAAGCAUGGAUAUGAUAAAUAGUUGCUCUGCCUAAUUUGCAAAUUUUAAGUUCUCUCACGAGUUUAGAUAUAACUGUUAUAAUUUAAAGCUUGCUCUAGACCUAAACUUGUGGGAUGAAAACUUGAUCUGAAGUCUAAGUUGUUAACGGAUAUGAUAUGGGAAGGUUGAGCUGCUGUUUAUCUGUUCCUAGAGAUGCUAGAAUUCUGGAGAAUUUUAUCUUUGAAAAUCUUUAAAAUGUUGCAUGAUGAGUUCCUGUAUGAUGAGAGUUUAAAUUCCUACCACAGCUAUAUAUAUAUGCUUGCUAGACUUUGAGCCACACAUUUACUAUUUACUGCUUAUGAGCAUUGAGUGUGGUCAAGUUGUGUUGACCAUUAAGAGCUUGUCAUGUGGUUAAAUCAAGAUUUCACUUGCACGUUCAUUCAUAUAUGCUACUUCUAUUCUGGAAGUACCAUCCACAUAUAUCCAUUCAUUUCCAUCUCCAGAAUCACCCAAAAAUAUUCUACUCCUAAUCCGGGAGAGAAUAACCAAAAAUAUUUCUGUUUUCCCCUUGUGAAAUAAAUGCUCAAGUUAUCUUGUUACUACCACUUGCUAUAUUAUCUCAAGAGAUGAGUGCUCUAAAAAAAAUAUAUAUAUAUACGAGGAAAUAAAAAGGAGCAAGUGCUCGGAACCUCGAAAGAAAAGAAAAAGUGAGACGAGAGGUAAAAAUGGACAAGUGUCCGACAGUAGAAUUAGGGGUGCAAGAUACCCACCUGAGAGACAAAAGAAAAAAAAAAGAAAAAGAAGAGCAUCUCAUUCUCCUCAUAAAGUUUCAAUAGCAAGGAAGGUAUGUAUCCCCUCAAAGAGCAAAGUAGAAUUAGACUUCCACCACCAUUGUUUUCACCAUUGUUAUCACCAUCACCACCAUACACCAUUCAUUCGCCACCCAUGCACAUCUUGAUUAAACUUAUUGGCUUGUUACUUUGGAUCCAUGGUUUGACUAUACAAUAAAUGUCUUGUAAGUAUGUAUAUUUUAUCUCCCACCUAUGAGCUCCAGAUAUUAAAGCCUUAUUAGAGUAGGGUGAAAGGGAAGGCAAUGUCACUAUGCCUUAUACCACAAAUACUACAUAUCUUGAGAGAAGGCAUAUACCAUCAAUGCCUUGGUAAGGAUCCAAAAAUACCACAAAAGAGAGAACUGAGAGAAUCAUACAAGGAAUUUCUGAGUUUUAUUGAAAAUAUGCAAAAACCCCAGAGCUAUAGCUGAUCAAGAAUAAGAGACAUGGCACUUGGCUAGACUGUUCUAUCUUUUAACCACUCAAGACAGAAGUGACAGUUACAAGUCCCAUGGUGUAGGUAAAGUAAGUAAGUUUUAAGUCUUGACAGUUUACUCUAACUCAGAGAUGAGAUCUUAUUUAAAAGCAUGUGUACCGUCAAAUUUUUUUUAAUAUAUAUAUAUAUAUAUAUAUAUAUAUAUAUAUAUUGCAACAACUUAUGAUCCAUAGCUGAGUCUAUCUUUGCUCAGGGACGAGCAAGAGGUAAGCUUGGGGGAGUUUGUUGACGGUCCUUAAGUAUCAAAUUUAAUUAUCAAAUAAAUAAAGAAAAGGACCCAAAUGAAAUCAACAUCUAGACUUAGGGUUUUAUCUGACAGAAUUCCAUGAGUUUUGGUGUUUGUCUAUUUCUGCAGGGGGUUAUCAGGAAAUAUGGAAGAAAGGCCCACAUGUCAGGAUUACGUAAAGAUAUUAACGUGCUGCGCAAUUAUCUUACAUCUAGAAGACUCCAGAAGCCACGAGACCAAAGCGGAGGCAAAACGGGGCCAGACCCUGGGCGGCCGCCCAGUUGGUCAGGGCGCCCGCCCUGCCCCUGAGUCCAAUCAGGACUCUGCUUUGCGGGAGAUCUCCACCGACCUAAAGGAUGAAUCUAAACCAUACAAUCUAUGUCGGUUUUAUCCAAGCGCCCAUAUUCACUUGAAGGGACUAUAAAACCAGACCCCCUGGCCCCUGGAGGAGAGAGCCUCUCAACCCUAAUUCAUUGUUCCAUCAAGGGAGAAGAAGGCUCUGAUCAAGAUUAGAGCCACCACAUCAAUUAGAUAUCUAGAUUAGCAUAGCUACAUAGGAUUAGAACUAGAAGGAGUCAAUCUUCGAUUGGUUUCCAGAUCUGUCAGGAGGAUUCUUGGUAAUUCUCUAAUUGUGCUUCUAAUUGCUUUCUAAUUAUCUUUGUUCUUCAAUAUUAU